GCGCAGCCGCGGAACCGCCUGCGACCCUCGCCCCACAGCGGGGCCGGGCCGGCCCGGGGUCCGCGGCCCGAUGGCUCGGUUUUCAGGGCUGGUUCAAAACGCCCCUCUGCAGGGAGAAAUAGGUGUGCCGUGUCCCUAGAGACGGUAACAGGGUUAGCUGAAAUUGUAAACACAUCAUGGAGUUACUUCUCCACUCCCAUAAACUUCUCUCAGUUUAUUUCCCAUGCAUGUCAUGGUGCAGUCCCUUUAUGAGCAGUGCAGAAUAACAGCAUAAGCCUCACUCCACAUCUCAGAAAAUUCUGCUUCCAUUCUUUCAGAACUCCAUAUGGAAAUGCCCAACUGUGAAACAAGCCCAGAGCCGCCCUGGUGCCCCAUCCACGUUCCCACUGAGGCCUGUGGUGACGCUGGAGACGUGGCAGAGCACGAGGCCACCAGUGCCAGCCCCGGGCUGUGGCUGGUGGCGCUGGGGCAGAGCAGCCUCUGCACAGCACCAGCCAGGGCAGGAGGAGGGCAGCAGCACCACAGACAUCAGGGAGGCUCCGCUUUGCCACCUCAGGAGUUUGUGGCCAGCAGCCCUGAGGGGCAGGAGGAGAGGCUUGGCCAAGCUUUUCUUUCCAAAUUUCUAGUUUCCAUUCACGGCUGAGAUACACAAGGUUCAAUCUCACUGCAGGAGAAGUGCCAGUGCUCUUGGCCUUUACACUCUUGGGCUGACCAUGCUCACGCUCCUUACGUGUCUUCUCAUAAACAUACACUUUGCAUAUUCCAGUCUGAGGUGUCUUUCUUGAACUCAUAAGUUAAAAAGCCCCAGACAACAGAACAGUAUUUUCUAGAUGUGACUUAUGUGACCAGCACAAGAAUAUUAUCUUUACUUAAGCAUAUGCAGUUAGGGACUUGUUUGGCUUUAAUAAAAUGUAGGUAUGGCUUAAAGUUAUCUUGGGGUGACCUGAAACUGGUCUGUCAUUUCAGACAACUGACCUUCUACUAAUUCUUGGUGUCUGGCUGGCACUCUCUAAGAGUCUCUAUUGGAAUUUAUGCUUCUACUUUGCAUCUUGCUCUUACUGUUCCCUUAAAAAUCAAAAGACAGUUCCCACUUGCUAUUCUAAAUUAGUGAUUCACAUGUGGACUCCUGGAGACUUCUGUUCUAUGGCAAGUACAGAACAAACUCCAAAUAAUUUCUGUUAUUGCAACACAUUUGUGCUAUUUGUGCUAUUUCUGCAGAUACUGGUAAAGUAAAAUGGCACCAACUCGACAAUACUACAGAAGUAAAAAUUGAAAAAGUAAAACAAUUACCCAGUGCAGAAAGGAAAAAAACGAAAGAA